UUGUUUUCCGACGGAGCAUCAUCAAGAUUCACAUGAAAUUUCAUUCGACUUCGCCGGAGAUUGAAGAAAUUUUAAAAAAUAUAAAAAGUUAAAAAAAGAAUCAGCAGUCGGCCUCGUGGGAGAUAUUGAUCUAAUUUCCAAUUGACAUGGGAAUCUUGAUGAUGCUGCAGCGGCAAUCAA
rfam:Cucumis melo, WGS project CAJI01000000 data, contig: 24282